rnacentral:lncRNA from 1 species
AAACAAUCAACUUCCAUAAUUUUCCUAAGUAUAGAAAAAAAGAUUAAUCAUGUCAUCGUUUUGAUUAAUAGGCUAGAAAAAGACAAUGAGCAAUUUAAAAUAUAUGGGACUGGAAACUUUUUUAUGCAUAACAUAGCAUGAUUACACAUAAAACAUUGGUAGACAAUAAGAGAGGGUGAAUAAGAAUACAACUAUAUCAACCCAAGGGGACCAAGACCCAUAUAAAUCCAUGCAAGCCAAAAAAAGAAAAGAAAAAUAAGCAUGAUAAUAUGCAUUAUUCCAACAAUCUUGAUUGUUCUUGUAAAAAGGUCGCACAUGACCAAAUGAGGAUUCAUAUGAUAUGCAUUAUUCCACUAAAUUGUCAACAUAUAUACCUAUGGUAUAAAAAAGAAAAAACCACUAAAAUCAAAUAUACAACCCUAACUUUUGCCUAGUAAUCAUCUUUUAACUUCUUGUUCGAAGGUGGGAGUGAUUUUCCUGUACCGUACUGUGGCCAUUAUGAUUUACUAUUGAAAUUAGUCUUGUAUGCUAAUUAUAAAACACAGUUACAUACAAAACCUUGAGUACUUCUCAACAUAAGGGCGAACAAAGAGAUUAUAAGUAAGAAAUAAAGAAAAAGGUUCGUUCCUGUGAUAUAUUGGGGAAGAUAAUACAACAAGAAAAGGAAGGGGUGGGUUUUGUGCCACUGCUAGGUUAGGUUUAGUUAAUGCGUUUGUUCAUGUGAUAACAUCACAAUUAUUCUUAGAGAUAAGAUUUUUUUGGAAAAAAAUGAACUUAUAUUCUCAC